GAAUCCCAAGCAAAGAUGAGGAGAAAAGACUUGAGCCCAAAUCCUCUGCAGACUGCACAUAGCACACGUAACAAAACUGGGCAAGGGUCUCCCUUAGCCGUGGGCCCAUGCAGCUAGGAACCCAGUCCCCAGAGAUUGAGGCAGUGACCGAAAGCUUUGGCAACCAAUAACUGCUUCAUUUCCCACCAGGUUCAGAAUGAACUAUUUACAGGUGGGAAGGACAGCAUUAAGUCAUGAUGCUAGAAAGCCCUCUGCUCCUCCAGCUCCAAGCCAGAUUGGUCACACUCCCUACCUCAGCCACGUGCACUUCAUAGCUCCGUGGGGUGGCGACAUAGACUGGCAGUUACCUGGUACUUCAACACCCUCUGCUUGAGACACUCAGCCAGCUCCUUGGCCCUGGGCUCAGCAACACAGGCCCCAGAGGGAGCUGGAGAGGAUGGCUGUAAGCACCGCCCCUCAGAAGGAAGCAAGAGGGAGACUCAGUAGCCCCCUGGGGGGCAGAGCAGUCAGAGCCAAGGGGAGGAGUGGGGGACUGGGUAGGACUGGGUAGAGGUGGGGCAGAGAGGGCAAGUACACAUGCAGGGUUAUGGAGGUUAGGGAGGUUAUGGAGGUUAGGGAGCUUAUGGAGGUUAGGGAGGUUAAGGAGGUUAGGGAAGUUAUGGAGGUUAGGGAGGUUAUGGAGGUUAGGGAGGUUAGGGAGGUUAUGGAGGUUAUGGAGGUUAGGGAGGUUAUGGAGGUUAGGGAGGUUAGGGAGGUGAGGGAGGUUAUGGAGGUUAUGGAGGUUAUGGAGGUUAGGGAGGUUAUGGAGGUUAGGGAGGUUAUGGAGGUUAGGGAAGUUAUGGAGGUUAUGGAGGUUAGGGAGGUUAUGGAGGUUAGGGAGGUUAUGGAGGUUAGGGAGGUUAUGGAGGUUAGGGAGGUUAUGGAGGUUAGGGAGGUUAGGGAAGUUAUGGAGGUUAGGGAGGUUAUGGAGGUUAUGGAGGUUAGGGAGGUUAUGGAGGUUAGGGAGGUUAGGGAGGUUAGGGAAGUUAUGGAGGUUAGGGAGGUUAUGGAGGUUAGGGAGGUUAUGGAGGUUAGGGAGGUUAGGGAGGUUAUGGAGGUUAGGGAGGUUAGGGAGGUUAUGGAGGUUAGGGAGGUGAGGGAGGUUAUGGAGGUUAGGGAGGUUAGGGAAGUUAUGGAGGUUAGGGAGAUUAUGGAGGUGAGGGAGGUUAUGGAGGUUAGGGAGAUUAUGGAGGUUAGGGAGGUUAUGGAGGUUAGGGAGGUUAUGGAGGUUAGGGAGGUUAGGGAGGUGAGGGAGGUUAUGGAGGUGAGGGAGGUUAUGGAGGUUAGGGAGGUUAGGGAAGUUAUGGAGGUUAGGGAGGUUAUGGAGGAUGGCAGCAGAGUCCAAGAAAAGAACUUAAGUAGUGUCCUCAAAAGUAUCCAGCCUGGAGCCCUGC
rnacentral:lncRNA from 1 species